rnacentral:rRNA from 1 species
CUUCCUACGGGAGGCAGCAGUAGGGAAUCUUCCACAAUGGGCGCAAGCCUGACCCAGCAACGCCGCGUGAAGGAAGAAGGCUUUCGGGUUGUAAACUUCUUUUGUCAGGGACGAAGCAAGUGACGGUACCUGACGAAUAAGCCACGGCUAACUACGUGCCAGCAGCCGCGGUAAUACGUAGGGGGCGAGCGUUAUCCGGAUUUACUGGGUGUAAAGGGAGCGUAGACGGUUCUGCAAGUCUGAAGUGAAAGCCCGUGGCUUAACCGCGGAACGGCUUUGGAAACUGUGGAACUGGAGUGCUGGAG